AGAUGUGCAAGUUGUAGGGACAGGAGGAUCCAAUUGCUAUCCUUAAAGUUAAAGUGGAUCUGAGGGGUGUAGGGUAUAAAAUAGUUUGUGAACGCUUCUCCUCCUAUAUGGCUUAGAGUUCAUGUCUAUCUUCCUGCCCAUGCUUUCUCCUCCAUACUAUUCAAUACAUUAAGGGGGAUGUUUCCUAUAUUUUACGAAUUAAUUGGUUGAUUGACAACAAACUUGGUACACUUGUACAGCAUAUAUAAGGAGUAGAUGACCCCUAUUGAUUCUUAGGUCACAUGGUCAGUCCACUCUUGACAUAGGAAGGUAUUGUCUGCUCAAUAUUUUGAAUUGGUGAUACUACUAUCAAUUAAAUGAGGCACGGGUAUAACCCUUUCAAUUUUGCAACUUGGGGGCAUAUGUGUUUUAGAAACAUCUCUUGUGUUGUAUUAUAUGAAUUACAGGUUUUAGUGUGCUCAGUUUAGAGAAUAGCAUAAAAGUAUUUGAUAAUUAAAUAUCUUGCAGAUUGGCAGUUUACUCCAUGCACCGACAGGAAUGAUAAACUGUGAUAUUCGUAAAUGGAACUGGGACACGUUCUAAAUAUACUCAGGGACAGAAUGAUGUGCAGCAAGGCUCGUCAUGGAUUUUACCAAAUACAGAACACUGCAAGGCUUGCAAAAUGAAGACCUCAGUAAAAAAAAUUCUAAAUUAUCCACUAAUGGCAGCUCACUACCUGCCCCUAGUGAUGUUAAAAGAGGCCGUUGUUCUCAUUUGUUCCAAAACAGGAAUGGCAUAUGAGGAGGCCAACAGAAGAUGCACCUCCACUGAGUGUGCACUCACAAAACGAAUAAAUUAUUAUUAUUUCUUUUGUUUGUAAUUGUAUAUUGUCAACAAGGUCAAAGGCACUUGAUCCGAUGCCAAACUUUUGCAUUUCUUUUGCUUUGUGGUAAAUUUUCUUCAGCAACAUUAACAUUGUUUAAAUUGUUUUCUUUGGAGAGUAUACAUGUACACAUGGAUCAUUUGUAUAUUAGAAUUAUAGCAUUGUUUAAUUCAACUCAUUCUUAUCAUAGAGAGGUUAUUAUAUACUGCAGGCAACGACUUGUAAAGGGUAUACUGUUUUAACUCACGUGCAAGGCAAGGCAGUAUUAUGAAACUCUGUAGUUGAUAAGGACAUAUAUCACAUAUCGAUAUGCAUAUUUACAGGAAACUCUGAUGUAUUUUAAAUCUGAACGUUAAUUUAAAAGUGGGGAGAAAUAGCAUUGGAUGAAAAAAGACACAUAUGAAGAAAAUUAUUCCAUACGUAAAUACUUUUUAGCUCACCUGAGCUGAAAGCUCAAGUGAGCUUUUCUGAUCGCCUGUUGUUCAUUGUCUGUCCGUGAUUAAACAUUUUAUAUUUUCUCCAGAAGCAAUGGGCCAAUAAUAACCAAACUUAGCCAAAAGUAUCCUUGGGUAAAGGACUUUUGAGUUUGUUCAAAUGAAGGGCCAUGCCCUCUUCAAAGGGGAGAUGACCACAAAAAUAGGGUGGGUCAUUUAAUUUUUUUUUUAUCAAGAACCACUGGGCCAGAAGAGCUGAAAUGUACAUGAAAGCUUCCUGACAUAGUACAGAUUCAAGUUUAUUGAAAUCAUGGCCUCCAGGGGUUGUAUGGGGCCACAAUAGAGAAUCAAAGUUUUACAUACAAUUAUUCAGGAAAAAUCUUUCAAUAUGAGCCAAGGUGGCUCAGGUGAGCGAUGUGGCCCAUGGGCCUCUUGUUCAACAUAUAGAAUAAAUACAUGUAGUUAUGUUGUAUUUCCCAUGGAACAUUGAAACGUUUAAUGCGUUUACCAAUUAAUCACUGAAAGAAAGAUAAAAUUGUUGUUUCAUGUUUUAUGAAAACUUAAAAAUGUUUCAUUUCUUUUCAUGAAAGACCCCUUAAUUACCCAGUAAUAUAUAAUCAAUUCUUAACAGAUUAUGUAAAUUUGAUUUAUAUUAAGGAUGUUUGAUCUGAUUACCCAUCAUUAUCAAUCUGUCUAAUAUAGCCAUCAUGUGUUACUAUUGCUACGCAAUCUUGGAGCAUGAGGUAGAAUGCGAGCCAGCUCUUUCAUAAGUACAUGUAUCUGGAAAAUAUAUUUCAAUGUCAAAGGUUACAACAAUGUGAUAAUGUAAUCAUUGUAUGUCUAAGGUCUUGAUAAUAAAACUGUUAUCUGUUCAA